rnacentral:snoRNA from 1 species
GAUUGCAGUGAUGACUCAGAAAUUUCAAGCUCAACAGACCGGAAUGCAGGCUUCUCUCUUUCAGAAGAAGCUUGCGUGUCGACUACCCCGCUGAACUGAGCGAUC